GGCGGAAUAGCUCAGUUGGUUAGAGCGCUACACUGAUAUUGUAGAGGUCGUAGGUUCAAACCCUACUUCCGCUA
rnacentral:tRNA from 1 species